rnacentral:rRNA from 1 species
UCGAGCGGUAGAGAGAAGCUUGCUUCUCUUGAGAGCGGCGGACGGGUGAGUAAUGCCUAGGAAUCUGCCUGGUAGUGGGGGAUAACGUUCGGAAACGGACGCUAAUACCGCAUACGUCCUACGGGAGAAAGCAGGGGACCUUCGGGCCUUGCGCUAUCAGAUGAGCCUAGGUCGGAUUAGCUAGUUGGUGAGGUAAUGGCUCACCAAGGCGACGAUCCGUAACUGGUCUGAGAGGAUGAUCAGUCACACUGGAACUGAGACACGGUCCAGACUCCUACGGGAGGCAGCAGUGGGGAAUAUUGGACAAUGGGCGAAAGCCUGAUCCAGCCAUGCCGCGUGUGUGAAGAAGGUCUUCGGAUUGUAAAGCACUUUAAGUUGGGAGGAAGGGUUGUAGAUUAAUACUCUGCAAUUUUGACGUUACCGACAGAAUAAGCACCGGCUAACUCUGUGCCAGCAGCCGCGGUAAUACAGAGGGUGCAAGCGUUAAUCGGAAUUACUGGGCGUAAAGCGCGCGUAGGUGGUUUGUUAAGUUGGAUGUGAAAUCCCCGGGCUCAACCUGGGAACUGCAUUCAAAACUGACUGACUAGAGUAUGGUAGAGGGUGGUGGAAUUUCCUGUGUAGCGGUGAAAUGCGUAGAUAUAGGAAGGAACACCAGUGGCGAAGGCGACCACCUGGACUAAUACUGACACUGAGGUGCGAAAGCGUGGGGAGCAAACAGGAUUAGAUACCCUGGUAGUCCACGCCGUAAACGAUGUCAACUAGCCGUUGGAAGCCUUGAGCUUUUAGUGGCGCAGCUAACGCAUUAAGUUGACCGCCUGGGGAGUACGGCCGCAAG